GACGUAGGGCGCGAGCGUUGUCCGGAUUUAUUGGGCGUAAAGAGCUCGUAGGCGGCUUGUCGCGUCGACUGUGAAAGCCCGCGGCUCAACCGCGGGUCUGCAGUCGAUACGGGCAGGCGUAGAGUUCGGUAGGGGAGACUGGAAUUCCUGGUGUAGCGGUGAAAUGCGCAGAUAUCAGGAGGAACACCGAUGGCGAAGGCAGGUCUCUGGGCCGAUACUGACGCUGAGGAGCGAAAGCGUGGGGAGCGAACAGG
rnacentral:rRNA from 1 species